CCGCAGAAGUCGCAGGCGAAGGGCUUCUCGCCGGUGUGCGUGCGGAUGUGGGUGGUGAGGUGGUCGCUGCGGCUGAAGUUGCGCAUGCAGAUGCGGCACUGGAAGGGCUUGUGGCCCGUGUGGAUGCGGAUGUGGCGGGAAAGCAACUCUCACACGAUCUGUAGCGUGCAAGGCCCCUACUCAGUGGCAUACAGGUGGCAUACAGGGGGGAAAAAAAAAUCGACAACCCAAGCAGCAGCAAGACACGGCAACGCCUGAGAGAUGCUACAACAGCACACUCCUGCUCCAAAGCAACAAACCAGCAUAUACAGGAAGGCUACAACAUCCUCAUCUUUCAGUUUUAACUCUAGAUACCAACAUUCACAGGUUUUAGGACAUCAAGUCACGUGCCACGUGGACUUACCUCUGUGUUGGGUCCCAAAUGCUGUUAGGUCGCGUCUCGCAGGCUCCUCUCCACCCGUGCAACACCUUACACCAGCUGAGAAAGGCUCUCUCACUUGCUCAGUUUUUGUUUCACUGCUCCUCCAGUCAGUGCAGAACCCAGGCUAGACAGGAGCAUACCUAAAAAAGUAAAAUUGUCAGGGGCAUUUGUCAUGCUUUCUAAGGAACGGCAGGCACAAAUCUAGAUAUUUUCCCUUAUGGGUGAUCUGGGAAGUGCACGCAGUAAUUAGGAAAUAUAUGCACUUACUGUUUUUUAACAUAUAGUAAGAUUUUUUUUAUUAUUUUUAUUUUUUUUUACCAUUUCUUUCUAGCACUUAAUGUACAGCCAAUACAGUUUGGCAUGUGAGACUUAGUUGAAAGAAAGCUCGUGUUCAAUUUCAGUAGGAUCCUAGAUAUUUUGGUUUAAAAAAAAAAUAAUCUCAAUUUAAAAGUUAAAUUGUGACAGAGAGACAGAAAGAGAGAGACAGGUUCUGGGAAAUUUGACUGAGAAGUAGGAGCAAUUGUAUUGUACCUUCCCAUUACAGCGGAGCUAUAAUUGGUCUCAUCACUACUAUGAAAGAACAAAAUAUUGGAAUCUGUUGUGCAGUGGGGCAAGUUACUUUACAUGAAUUUGAGAAAUGGGUAACUCUAAGUAGAGUAUCCUCCUUCCUAAAAAACGUCGUGCAUGUGUCAGAUACGGGUUUAAGUGAUAUUCGACAGUAUCUUCCUAUAUUAUUUUGAAAUACCAUGCACCCACUGAUGACACUAAAUCAUAAAGCACAUGAAAGAGAGAAGAAGCAGAGUUUCACAUCCCCAUAUCUCAAUUCCACCUUUGAACCAACUCGGCAACUUUAACAUUAUUCUGCUGUGACAGAGGAUUCUGUGAAAGACUGACACGAAUACACUUUAACAGACCUCCUGGCUAACUUCACAUAAGGAAUACUGCUGUUAUUUGACUUUGUUGGUUAAUUUUAAAAGCUUUCGACUUUGUUGGUUAAUUUUAAAAGCUUUCUUAAGGAUGAGGUAAAUUGUGCCUGAUUUCCAGCCUCUACGUAGACAAUCAAGUCACACUCAAUGGGAGCUUUGUCUGAAGGGCGUCAGGAUCUGGUGCAGGGCAAGAUGGAAACAUAGUUAAUGCUUGGUCUUCAGGAAGACAUUGACAGAUUAAACUUGAAUGGUUCUGGUCCCUUUUCAGAUAUUCGUGCUGUAGAGCUCUGCAUGUGUUUUGUGCCUUUGAUCCUCAUUUGGCUGAUUAAACUAGCAUCCAGGGUUAGACCGUCCAACUCGUACUGACGUCAAUGAGCCUUACACGCAAAAAAUCCUACUGAUUCCUGUGGUUCCUAUAAACCACGUGGUCUCAUAUGACGGACAGAUUGUUGGUGUAAAUUGCCAAAGCCCCACUCACACCACGAGAGGAGCUGUGCUUCAGUGGCCCCGUAUGCGUGCAAGUAUCUGGCUUCUCCCUGGACUCUGCAGCUUCCAAAGGCAAAACUACCCAAUUUGCAACCCACCCUGAACCCAUUCAGGGUAUUUUCACUGAUUGAUUUCAGAUGAUUCAGAAGUGAAUCGGAAAUGAACACAGAAACGCAUGCUAGCUUUGUACUGGGUACCUUGCACGUUGGGAUUCUCCCAAGGACAGAAGAUUUACUCUUACACGGAGUGGUCCUGCCUUCUCCCCUUACCGGUGUGACAUGUCUGACCGGCUAUGGUGCUGCCUGAGUGCAGAGUUCAGAGCUGAAGGGCUGAACUUCUCUUUCACUCCCAGUUUCUUUGCCCUUGGAUUUAUUUUACUUGCUCUUUUAACAAGGUGCUAGCUGGUGCUGCACUGGGUAUUUUCCUGCAGUCAUUCUCUACUGUGAGCACCUGAGAUAGGAGCUGCAGAAGUAACGUUGCACCUGAAUUUAAGAGGGCUGAGGAAGAAAAGGCAACUCAUCAUCUGCAGGAGCUGGCAGCACCAUUUAACCCGCUUAACAUCACACUUCUGAGUUGCUCCAGGGGGGUUACUAUGUUUUCAUAGCAAAACUCGACCGACCUCAUGUGCUAACAGCAGUGAUACCAGUAGGUCUGCUUGGGAAACACACCCUCACGCUUCCACUAUGCACCUCGCUGCUUUUGGGGACAGUGUUACCCCAGCUCAGCCGGGAGCUGGGCCUUGCUCCUGGAUCAGAGGUAAGUGACCCUGUCUUCUGAUGACAGCAAGGAAAGUUGGUCCUAAGCCUGUGCUAGAUUCAGGGUGUGGUUUGUGGGUGCUUUUUGUUGCGGGGGAUUGGGGUUGGUUUGUUUACACAUUUCACAUAAAAGAGAAGUUCUCAUCUCCGAAGCCGUAUUUCAGAGUUCCAUAAAUUUGCCCUUUUUCAUUGAAAGUAGAGAGACCUGGCAUGUCCUCACAGGAAGAAAUACUUGUUUACUAAUGCCUUGUGUUUUGCCAGGGGUGUCUGCUGGAUUCCCAGGCUGCAGUCAAAAGCCACUUCCCUUAAAUCUAACCUGCCAUUCCCUCACAGACCUGCUGCAGGCUCUCAGCCUUUACUGUCUGGUCACUGAAAGCCAGUACCCAGCCAGGGAAACCUGGUGUAAACACAAACCUACAGGAAACAGCUGCCUGACUGCUCGCAUGCUAAGGGUAGGUGGGUGGUUAGAGAGUAGAGGAGAAGGCAUCCCAGUCUGCCCUUAAUUAUGGUACCUUAAAACCACACUCUGCGGUUUUCAACCAAGGCUUCUUGUUGUCUUAGCGUGAAUGCCUGUAAAUUUGAAAUAAGUAAACGACUGUAUUGUGAGGAGUUGGCUCGGGAGAGCUGUAGCAGCAUCCUGAGGGGUUCUUUAAAUGUCAAUAACAUUUUCUAAUUCAGGCUACAGAAGUUAAGCUUGAGCGGAAUCAGCAAGUUACUGGUAUAAAUGUGUGUGGCCGUAAACAAAUACAUAUAACAGAGAAAACUUCCAGUCAAAUAAAAGCAACAACAAACUCGGUCACCCCAAAUCUAUUUUUGUUUACAGACAACUCAUUCUCGUUAUUGAAUGCGUGGAACACUUCCUGAAUAUUCCUGUACAAGCUUCCUAGCAUACGUAUUAAAUCUGUACUCCUACCUCUGCUGCCCCGUUCCUCUCCUCGCCCAGCACCCGAGGGAGCCGGCCCUGCCGCCGGCCGCAGCACGGGAGCGUGUGCGGCUCCACUGCCCUCUCCUGGGAGCAGGCGCUCGGGAGCCGGAGAGGACUCGGCCCGCAGAGCAGAAAGCUGCGCGCUGGGCUGGGUGCUCCUGGUGUUUCAGCGCCCGGGAUCUCUCUGAAGCUUUUCACCGUGGAUGUGCCACCUGUAGAGACACAAAUGCAGAGCCUUGGUGGGUCCCAGAUCCCAGGCCAGGGCAGCAAGGUUGCCUGAUGGCUGCAAUCCCACAGGCUGUGAUGACGCCCAUCUCCCCGGAGCAUUAAGGUUAGACACCACAUAACGCAGAGAGGCACUGGGAGUGAGCCAUGAAGGAGGCAUCCCAGCCAAAAAGCCCUCCAACACCCUCUCGUGUGGGGCUGGGAGGCUUGGGCAGCCCAGCCAGGCGCUCCCGCUCACUGCCGCCCACAGGGUCUCUUGCUGCCCAGGAGCCCAGCACCAACCUGGACCUGUGGCCAGUCACACCACCCGAUCUGGCCCAGAAGCAUCCCAGGUGGCCUGCAAGCUGCACACAGCUCCGUGACCGAAGUCAGCAGCUCCUCCACAUGUGUAUAAGCUGACUGGGUAAAAUAACAGCUCUGCGUGAUGCUUGCUGGAAAAGAAAAAAAAAAAAAGUUAUAUUUCACAACAGGGAGAGUAACUCAGAUAUAACUCAUACAUACACCACCCAUGUGACAAGACUCAAAAUAAUGACUUUGUUUCUGAAUAGUGAUAGUCUGACUGCUCAGCUUUACUUUGCAGCCCUUUCUUCCAAAAGCAGCUUCGCUUAACCUUAUAUUUCCUGCUCUAAUGCAUCUCCCGCACUUUGUGUGAAUAACUUUUGUCCAAAAGCUGCACCUGUCCUCUAGCCCAGAGUGAGACAGAUUGAGCACAUCCUUUAACAAUGCAAAUGGCCUUCUUCUUUGAAGGACUGAAAUAUAAGCAUAGCAAGUGUCACACUUUCAGUAAUGUUGGUUCCAUUACCUAGUGCCUGAGUACUUAAAAAGCUUGUCCAGAAGGCUUUCCAGAUGUGCUCAGUUCAGAGGAAACACCACCUUCAGGACUGAGUAAGGCUUUUUACCCUCAGCUAGAAAGUAAGGUUACAUAUCGCAUCUCUGCGGCAGACCAGGAGAGAAAGCAGAACCCCAGCACCAUUUUCCAUCCAGUCUUCUGAGACGAGAAGCAGAAGAGCUCCGGGGGGUAUUUCUCAGAAGCUUCCCACCCCUGCAGGGAAGUUGGAGCCACUCGUGGGAUUUCUGGAUUGCCAAGGACUCGUCUGUGUUUGCCCCGUCUGUGUGCUGUUUUUCACAACCUGUUCCCAUUUACGUCUCAUUUCUCCAUGCCUCGGUCUUAAACCAGUCUACCCUGAGCCUGGAAACCCCUCAGCUCUUUGCUCUAGGUAAGCCAGUCUGAGGGUGGUUUUGACUUUUCCUUAUUUCUUAUCAUCAUUUGUUUUCUGCUCCCAAGGGCAUGGCUAGAUGCUCGAGUCUCACCAGAAGACUGCGAACUCCUGAGAAGGAUGCUGAGGUUCAGUGCCAGCAAUUGUACCCACUGGAUGGUUUUCUGUCUGAAACUGCCAACAAAGUUUAUUGGAGCAGACAAUUUUAAAAAAAUCCCACGAGAGAUUAAAAUAAGCAACAUGUUUUGCUUUAAAAUUUCUAGGACCAGAUCUUCAAGCAGUGUAAAUUAGCAUAAGUUUUCUGAUGCUCUAACCCUUACAAUCUGAGUGCAAGUCAAAAUUGGGCAUGUUUUUAUUUAAGGUUUGGUUACUUUUCAAGGCUAAAACUCAAACUGCUCCUGAGGGUGGGCAUGGUGCUUUUUCAUUCUGUAUUUGGGCUGCUUCCACCUCUUUUGCAGGAGUUUAUUUCUAUCUUUGAUUUAUUUUCUCUGCUGAGAUGUAUUUUCCUUAUUCUUUCACCUCCCCUCUCAUUCAUCUGUCUCUCUUUACUCUUUAUUGUCCAACCUUUUCAGCUCUUUUCUCUCUUCCCCCUCCUGUCUUUCCUCUUCCUUGGUAGUUCCUUUUCCUUCCCCCUUAUCUCAGCAAUUGCUGCCAACAGCUAUAUUUGGAAUAGAGUGGGAACAAGCUAUUCUUGUGACUUUACUUUGAAAUAACUGAGAGGAGCAGAUGAUUUGCUUUGAACAAAUAGAGGAUACAUCGAGGAGAAGGCAGGCUAGUAAUGUCAAAAUGACAUUGUUAGGGAAUACCUGCCCAGCAGGUUUGUCUUUCCUUACUCUCAGGAUAACUUAACUAGUUAUGAGUUUCUGUUUGCUCUGUUUUAGUUUUAAAUCCUCUUUCCAGGUUAGCAGCACGAGGUCCUAACAAGCUCAUCUUCACAGUGUCUGGGCACUCGUACAUCAAGGGGAAUGACUGCCACCUAAAAUCUCAGAUGCUGGAAUUAGCUGAAACAGGAUAUAUACUUGUUUAGCACUUGAACUCAGUGCAGUUGUAUCUUCUGGUGUAGUCACAGGAUACUGUUAUAGAGUCCCACUUGAAUGGGCUAGGACAGAAAUAUGCUGGGAGGAACAACUUCCUAUCAAGCAACAUGAUUUCUCCAUGUCCUCUCGCAUUAACUCCUCAUCACCACCUGUUCCUCAUCACCACAGCCAUUUGAACUGCUGCAAGCAAUGCAUUAGCAUAGCCAGUGAGAACCAGAGCUACAUGAACGGGACAAAACAGAACGUAUUUCCCCCUGUCCUCUGUAUUUCUGUGUUUAUACGAUUAACUCCCACAUUGGCAAACCAAACAAGAAUUGAGGCCAAAUGAGAAAUUCAGCAUUAGAGCUUUGCAUUUUGUGCCUGUGCCAAAAGACGACCCAAGUCUAUUUGUCUGCUCUCAAAUGAAGCAGGUUCUAUUAAAACCAUACUGCUGUACACGUGGUUGUGUGUGAAACUGUUUCAUACAAAGAAAGAUGCGUGAAAUUAUAUGCAGAAAGAUGUAGGGAAAAAGAUCCUUAGUUGCAAGUUAAAAAAAAAUCAAAGGCAGGAAGGCUGCUAAAGCUAAAAGGAAAUGAUCCUUCCAUCCAUUAAGGACUUCCUGGGACUUUAUAAAACCAGUUAACACAAAACAUAAUGCGGGGCUAAUGUGGGGCUUUCACAGUUGUCUCUGCAAUAAUUGUUAAUACAUUCAUUUUGCCAACAGAAUAUGCAUCAAUACCAAUGCCUUAGGAGGGCAGGCUUGGCUGAGUUAUAAUGUUUUUCUACCAGAUCAUCUAAUAUAAAAGCAUCUCCGUCUUUGAGCAAACAGGCCUUUUGCCAGCUCCACACAUACUACUACCACCACACUACAAAUCUUGUAUGUGCCAUACCAAGUGGAGGCAAAGCAAGGAGAAGAAGGAAGAUAAGGAUAAGAAGUGACAUUUACUUUCAGCACUACUCUAAUUCCCAGAGACUGCCAAGUGUCUCUUUGGGCUUCACUCCCUUAAAACUGAGCACAGAAAAAUUUGGUGUAUGCUGCAGACAUAGGAAUAUAGCAAUAUCUCAUACUCCAUUAAAUGAAAGUGCAAUGGCUAAGUGUUAUUUCAUCAGUAUCGGAUGAGUUUUUGCAAUUUUGUGCUGCCAUGGAAAGCAGAUAUAUUUUCUCUAUGUUCCUAACCCCAGCUUUACAGACACAAGUGAACUUUCAGGUAUUUAGAGAACACUGCUAAGUCCACGGUGAACUCAGGUGAUUUAGCCUUCUCCUGUUACCUUCUCAUGGGCUGUCUCAUCCUCACCAUACUGAAAGCCUGCAGCUUUCCUCUCUGCCUCCUCAACUCCACAUGCUCAGCACAGCUGAGUAAGACAACUUGAAAGAGCCUCUGGAAAAUAAUACUGACUUUUAGGGCUCCCAGAGCACUAUAUGGGCUGCAGACCUGGCCAGCCUACUGAAGAAGGAGCUAGCCCACAGCUACACAGACCUCACUGGACCAGGCACCAGAAACUUUUUCCAGCGCUCUCAUCAGUGUCAAAAUACCUUUUUUUUUUUUUUUUUUUAUUACUGAGCAGAUGCAGAUGGGACUAAGGAUUGUCAGCACCUAAGCCACGACUGAACCCCACUGAGAUUUGCAACAUAGGCUUUCUCCAACAUCCUUGAUCUGGACCAGCUGAGAAGAUAAACAUUUUCUGAACCUUUCUACCACCACUCAGAACAGAGGAUGGCACUGGCAAACUUAUGGGAGCAGGACUGGCUCCACAAGGAAGAUCAGGGCACCUACCUGAAGAAGAGCCAAGGUCCAGUAGGAAUAUGCAGCUGGUGUCCUGAUUUCCACACUCUAGCUCCGAGCAGGUCAUGGGAAGCUGACAGGCUGUGCGUUUGGACAGAACGAUUACAACCACCACCAGCAAAUACUUUACAGGCAUCCUGGAAGGGACAAUCACUGUUGACUUAACCCUUGAAGAACCUGGGAAGAAAAGGUGUGAAGAAAGAGCAGCAAUGAACAGGUGUUGAUUUUUACUUCUAUCUAUAAGAAAUAUCAAAGAACAGGAAGUAUUCCCCCUGUCAUGUACAACGGACCUUCCUUACAGCUAAGCUGAAUAAUCAUCAUAUUAAGAAACCCAUCCCACAACUCAGGACAGUGCUUGUGUUAGUGCACCACUAAAACCACCACGACUGCAGCCCUGGAGGAGCUGACCAGGGCUGCUCUGGACUUUGCAGGCUUUCUGGAAAGCACACCUAUUGUAACACAACUUAAAGUUGAGAACAUGUCUAAAAAACACACACAAUGUCAGAGAAGGAAUGAAAUGGUGCUUCUCUCCCCCCCACCUCUCCAACCUCAUUACAGGCUAAGGAAAAAUAAUGUAUGGAGAAUAAUACUUCACCAUCUAAAGAGUUUUUCUGGUUUCUAAAUCUAGUGAAGAGUCAUUGUAUAUUUUGACAGAAAAAUGAAUCAAAAUAAUAAAGUGAAUACAAAAUUA